GAUGAACGCUAGCUACAGGCUUAACACAUGCAAGUCGAGGGGCAGCAUGACGAUAGCUUGCUAUUGUUGAUGGCGACCGGCGCACGGGUGAGUAACGCGUAUCCAACCUUCCCGUUGCUAGGGGAUAACCUUGCGAAAGUAAGACUAAUACCCUAUGAAGUUCUUCGCAGGCAUCUAAAGAGAACGAAAGAUUUAUCGGCAACGGAUGGGGAUGCGUCUGAUUAGGUUGUUGGCGGGUAACGGCCCACCAAGCCCACGAUCAGUAGGGGUUCUGAGAGGAAGGUCCCCCACAUUGGAACUGAGACACGGUCCAAACUCCUACGGGAGGCAGCAGUGAGGAAUAUUGGUCAAUGGACGGAAGUCUGAACCAGCCAAGUAGCGUGCAGGAUGACGGCCCUAUGGGUUGUAAACUGCUUUUUAUGUGGGAAUAAAGUGAGGGACGUGUCCCUUUUUGUAGGUACCACAUGAAUAAGGACCGGCUAAUUCCGUG
rnacentral:rRNA from 1 species